AUUCUUCGACAAUGUUUCAAAACAAACACGGAAAUAAUUUUAACACCGUUUAUUAAACAAAAGGAAAAAAUUACAUACUGUAAGCAUGCCCUGACAACCCAUUAAAUCCGAUACUUUUCUUUUUAUAAAUUAAACAAAAAGCUAUCCGAAAAAAUCUAAUGACCUUUUCUUCAUUAUCUCUCCAAUGUGCAUAUAGCUCAUAAUACCGCCAAGUUACUAAGGCGAAGGAACAGCAGGGGAACGUUUUUAAUAGUCUGUGGGAUGGACAGUAGGAGUGAAAAAAAUACGGUCUGGAUAUAUUCCAAUCGGACUAGGAGUUACUAACAAUAUCUGAAGUUUAGUCAGAAGAUGCCUUUCGAUGCCGAACACUCAAUGCUGCAGAGGCGACUUUCAUACCGCGACUAAUACAAUGCGAUGAUAUACCGAGAACAACUACUGCAGUUUGAUAAUCAACUCAACUUUUACCUGGUUCUUCUGCGGCAGUUGAAAAUGAAUCGACAGGGGAUUCUAUCAAAUACUUUCAGAUGUCACUGCAGCACGUUACACCUUUACACAAAAUGUUUAUUUUUGAAUCACUCUCAUAAUGGAGAUUGACAAACUUCACUCGGAACGGUAAAAUAGAAUUCUUAAUCUUCAAAAACAGAUUUAUCAACCGUACUUUCAUCCAGUUUCCAAAGGAUAUGUCUCACCGCAAGGUGAACAAGGGAAAAUUGAUCAAAUUUUCAGGGAAACUAAUGUUUGCUAUAAUAAAGGUUGAAUGCGCAUCGCAUAUUUUUCAUCUUUAACUUUAAAGCAAAGAGAAUAAUCAUGCUACAAUUUUCUCAAUUACCUGCCUUUAAAGUGCUAGUCAAAGCAAGCAACCAAAUUUUUCUUCAAAGACAAAAC